rnacentral:rRNA from 1 species
CAAAAAAAACCUAAACCUAUCGCCCGAUCGACGACUCCUGCCCUCGAGCGAGGUCUCCCUUCGCCGCCGCCGCUCCACCCAGAGCCGCCCUCUUCCCCGCUGGCGCCGCCCUCUUCCCUCCCACCCCGAGCUGCCGUCUUCCCCGCCCACGCCGCUCUCUUCCCCGCCGGCGCUGCCCUCCACUCACCUUCUGUUCUUCAAGCGGGGACGCCCCAGAUCGAGUCGAGCAAGUCAGCGGGGCAGCGGCCAGAUCCGCCACGGCCACAUCUCGUCGAGAUGGGCUGCGCCGGGAGAGGUAGAUCGAGGCAGCGGGCAACGUGUGCGUCUAGUCCCUUGGGACGCCUCCGACCCGAUCCGGCGAGGAGGCAGCCUCCGUGUGCGGCAAUGAGGGUGGCGGCCGGCUGCGCGAAAGGUCGAUCUGAUUGUGCCUCGUCACACCCCUUCCCUGGGCCGCACUUUCUUUGCCUGUUAAGCAAUUGAUAUACAUAGUGGAGCAAGAAGUAACACCAUGGAAGGGGAGAAAUACAGUACAGGCACUACGUAUUUUAAAUUUUGCAUGUGGGCUCAGGCGUGGCAGCGUCAGCGGCCUCCGACGCUCCUCGGCUCAGCCGCCGCCGACCUACCAUGCCCAAAAUCCUCGCGAGCAGUGUCACUUCUUCCCCUCACCGUGGUGCAAUGGAUUGAUUGAUUGAUGAAUCAAUCACAGCUGCUAGAAGAAGAAAGAAUCAGGCGUGCAUCAUGGAUGAUGGAUCUUGGAGUGCGGGGUGAGAACAAAGGUGAUUUAUUGGAGUGAUAUAAGCAAACUCAGGCACGUUUCCUUUCCUCACAUUUUGAAGAUCCAAGCAGAAUGGAUCUAUUAUUAGUAGCAUCGUCACCUUCAAAUCCAAUGUUUUUUGAGGCCACUCCUGUGUUUGUCUCUUUCAAACUAAUCUGGUUUUAACAGUAGAUCAUUACUAUUUUACCUACUUGAUUCUUAAUGCUUGUAUUUCUUAAAUUUUCCUAGGAGAAUGGGAAUUACAUCUAGAGCUACAGUUUGUGAUUUAAGGAUCUGCUAGGCAUGUCAUGGCAAGUAAUUUUACUUGGCAAUUGCCAUGCUCCAGCAUAAAUCAUGUUCUGUUGCAGCACCUGGCAUUUAGGUACCUUUGAUUCAUGGAUGUACGAUAGGCCUGAAGCUUGAGCAGUUCAUAUUCGACAUAUCCAUUUAAUCCCUGUCCAUGACACUUUUUGAGGUGCUACACAAAGGGGAAUUUGCGCCAGUGAAGAACGCGAAUGGCACAACGUAUGACACCUGAUGCUACUCCAACUGCAUAGCGGAUGGGAUCCAGUAAUGGAGGGGAGUAGCACGAUGUCGCCUUUAGGAGAGCCCGUGGGUGCAAAGAUCGCAGCAUGUGCACCAGCACUAUCAGUUGUUUGUAGCUGUGGAAUCGGUAAACAGCGUUCAAAAUCAAGAUUUCAGCAAUGCUACCUCGUUCCCAGAGAUCAAUUCCCCCAUGCUUCUCAUUGAUGAUUUCAGUACUCCAAAAAAGAAACAAUCAUUUUCUCAAGAGGGUUCUUUGUAUAAGCCAUAGUGUGAUGAGGAAUUGAAGCCAAAAGUAGGGAUGAUAUUUGAUGACAUUGGCUCGGUGAUGGAAUUUUACAAAACAUAUGCACACAAUGUCGGCUUUGGUGUACGUCUUGGGCAGCAAAAAGUCGUGGAUAAUGUGCUUCAGUGGAAGCGCUUCUUGUGUGCAAAAGAAGGCUUUCGGACCAAGAAAGGUAUGAUUGCUAUUGACCCUGCUAAGAAAAGGAGAAAGGUGAAAUUGACAAGAUGUGGAUGUGAAGCUUAUAUCUAUGUCACUCGUGAAAGUGAUGGAAAAUAUAGGAUCGCCUCACUCACUGAAUAUCACAAUCACCCUUUUGUGCCUCCUAGCCAACAACAUUUGAUUAGAUCUAAUCGUCAAGUUAGUGAGAGGGUGAAGACAACACUUUAUGACUGCCAGAGAGCUAGCAUUGGCACCGCUUUAGCAUAUAGGUUCCUUCAUGUUGAUGCAGGUGGUUUUGAGCAUGUUGGGUGCACAAAGAAGGACCUACAGAAUCACUAUGGUGUACUGAAAAACAAAAUUAAAAAUUGUGAUGCUCAAAUGCUAGUGGACCAAUUUGGUAGAUUGAAGGCCUUGAAUCCUGCUUUUUUCUAUGAGUACGAAGUUGACGACGUUGGUACAUUGGUCCGUUUGUUUUGGGCAGAUGCAUCUAGUAGGAAAAUUUAUGGUCAUUUCAAUGAUGUGGUAUCUUUUGAUUCGACUUACAACACUAACCAAUAUGAAUACAUCUUUGCACCCUUCACUGGAGUUAACCAUCAUAUGCAAAGUGUAUUUUUUGGGGCGGGGUUUCUACUACAUGAGACAACAGACUCGUAUGCUUGGUUGUUCACGGCGUUUCUUAGAGCAAUGGGUGGGAUUGCACCCAGGCUGAUAAUAACUGAUGAGUGUCUUAGGAUGAAGAAUGCUAUUGGUAAAAUUCUACGAAACACUGCACAUCGAUUGUGUAUGUGGCACAUUAUGGAGAAGGUUCCUGGAAAGGUACAUCCUGAAUUGAAGAAUGAUCUUGCAUUCUAUGAUAGGCUGAAACAUUGUGUGUGGAAUUCUGAAACACCAGCUGAGUUUGAGGAUAGAUGGAAGUCUUUCAUCACAGAGUUUAAGUUGGAGGACCAUGAGUGGUUUGCUAAAAAGUACAUGCUUCGUGCGACAUGGAUACCAGCUUAUUUCAUGAACAUUCCACUAGCUGGUCUUCUUAGGACAACUUCGAUAUCAGAGAGUGCAAACUUGUUUUUUAAGCGCUUCAUCUGUCGCAGGCUCACAUUUGUUGAAUUUUGGCUAAGGUUUGACACUGCUUUGAAAUGUCAGAGGCAGAAUGAGUUGAUUGCUGAUAACACAAGCCAAUACACAACAACUGAAUUGUUAACAUCAUGGGAUAUAGAGAGACAAGCUAGGGCCUUAUUCACACAUGAGAUCUUUGAAUUGUUCCAGGCUCAGGUGCUUGCUGCGAGAGAUGAAUGUGAUGUUCAGGAGAUGGCAAAUGGCGAGGGGAUUAAAAUCAUCUCUAUUAGCGAUCAAUAUAAGAAGAUUAGAGAAGUUUGUUAUGACACAAAAACCAUGACUGCUAAAUGUUCUUGUAAGCUUUUCAAGUCAACAGGAAUUAUAUGCCGCCAUAUUAUCCGAGUAUUGAGGGGUGCCAAGAUAAAUGAAUUACCGAGCUCAUGUGUUCUUAAGCGGUGGCAGAAAAAUUGCAAAAGGGACAUUGUAUUGGAUGGGGAAGGAAAUGUGCUUGAAGAGAAGUUCAUUGACCAAGUAGACAUGGCCGUGAAAAGGAAGAUAGCUGCUGUCAGGAACAAGCUAGAAGAUCUUAUACAGAAUGCUAAAGGGUCCAUGGAAGGAAUUGAAUUGCUCCACACUAGUUUGUGCAAUGUUGAGUUGGAUUUAGCCCAGCUCGUACCGGACGUAGCAUGUAGCACACAAGAAAAUCAGGAGUCGUUUAUUGGGAGCGCCAUUCCAAAGCAUGUUACCAUCCUCACACCUACUGAUGUCAAUGGAAGGGGCACAUGCUCUAGAAUAAAGGGACACAGGGAUGGUGUGAAGAGUGGAUCUGGUGAGAAGAGCAGAAGGCCUGGAAUCCAUCAAAAAGUCGCGCGCAAAUGCAACAUUUGUAAGGAACUGGUGUUCCAUGAUGCAGGAACAUGCUCCAAGAAACAAACGGCACAACAGUAGAGGUAGAUUGAACUGAUAAAUGUAUAAGAGUCCAUGGAGGUUGUCAUCUCUCACAGCAGAUGAAGCUUGAUUACUAGGAAGCACUAAAACAGGAGGCAAAAUGAUAGAUCUUUCUCUCAUGUACUAUCAAGAUGCAUGUUGGGCAGUGAUAAUUUCAGUCCUUAACAUUUCGUCCUGCCGGCCAUGUACUAAAAAUGAUCUAUGUAUGCCUCUUGUGUUAUGUUCCCAUGUACUCAAAUACUAAUUUCGGUCCUUAAGUUGCUCAUGCAUUCGGAUACUUCCCAUUUUGACAUGUAUAUGUACUUCUGCUUGAUCUGGGAUGGCUUAAUGUGCUGAAAUAUUUGUGAUACAAAUUGAUGCUUUUU